rnacentral:RNase_P_RNA from 1 species
GGAGUAAGUGAGAAGGUCGCUGGCUUGUCGCAAGACAGGCGAGAGGAAAGUCCGGGCUUUACAGGGCAGGAUGCUGGCUAACGGCCAGUCAGGGUAACUUGCAGGAAAGUGCCACAGAAAACAGACCGCCAGCCUCGGCUGGUAAGGGUGAAACGGUGCGGUAAGAGCGCACCGGAAUGCUGGUGACAGCGUUCGCACGGAAAACCCCAUCCAAAGCAAGACCGCAUAGAGAGUGAAGCAAUUCCGAGGCGGCCCGUUUCGCUCCGCAAGGAGGCUCUCAGGUAGGUCGCUUGAACCCACUCGCAAGAGCGGGUCUAGAUGAAUGGCCUUCGCGUCCUUCGGGACGAACAGAACCCGGCUUACGGCUCACUUCGACG